rnacentral:lncRNA from 1 species
GAUUCAGCCCCAACACUUUUGGAGUUAUAAAUAAAACCCAAUCAAAAUACUUUCGCCCAAAAUCGUUGCAAAAGACCCCGUCUCUUACGUUCCUAAUCCUGAUCAUCCAAUCGUCCAACCGGCCUAAGAUUUGCUAGGUCUCCUAAGACUCAAACCUGGCUCUGAUACCACUAUAAUCUGUCACGCCCUGGAUUUCAGCAGAAGCAACGAUAUCAUAACGCGUCAAAAUCCGACACUAAACCGCAAACUAAA